GCGAUAACACAAGCAUAAAAGAAAAUUAAAGAUGGUAUAUGAAGGGGCCAUGUCACUUUAUCAACAAUGACAUGACUAAAGAUCUCAUAAUUUUUGCUGCCUCAGUUUUUUUCUCCCUCUCCACUUCUGUUCUUUUAAACUUUUAUUAUCAUUAUUAUUAGGAGGUUCCAAAAUGGGGGUUGAAUGGACCAAUAAUAAAGUUAUCUGACCCUUGGGUGAAAGGAAUCAUCAUUUAUAUAUUAUGAGCAUCAAAUUCAAAUCUGAUCUGAUGAAAGGAAAUAGCAUUUGUGAGUGGAUAUCCAUAGCAUAAGCCUCAGUCCUAUUCAAGCAUAUGCCAAACCUCUUUUUACUAGUUUGGUUUAUUCCAUCCUUCAGAGUUAUGAGUUCUAAGCAAAGCUUGCAGUAUAAAAAGAUAGAGUGCGCAAAGCUCAAGGAGGCAACUGCUUCACCAUCAGUAAGCAAAUCAGCAAUAGGGCACCUCUUCACUGGCAUGUAUAAGUAUAAUAUACUAAUUCUUCAAGUAUUUCUACGGUCACAUACAUAACAUGCCAAAGGAGAGUUGCCCUGUUGCUGCUUUAGCUUAAAAUAAUCUCAAAAUGCUAAUCUUUACAUUUAUAUAUGUACUUAAGCUAUUAAGACCAAGGCCCCGAUCUGAAAUGCUUCUUGUCUCUUGGAGAUGAAGUCAUGAAGAAACAUUUCUUACGUGCAAUUUUCUUUUUCGUCAAAACGACCAUAUUGCAAGUGUAAUAAACGGCUUUUUUAAAGCCCAUAAUGGACCAAUCCAUGUAUGAAUAACUGUACUCUAUUAGGACCAUUUAGCCCAGAAUUUUUGGGUUUAUGAUUUUGGAAAAGCCCCUGUUCCUUCAUGUAAAUGUUGUUCAGUGGAUUAGGCCCAGGAAUGAAAUAAGGGGUCAAGAUGCAAAA